GACGGACGCUGGCGGCGUGCUUAACACAUGCAAGUCGAACGAAGAGCGAUGGAAGCUUGCUUCUCUCAAUCUUAGUGGCGAACGGGUGAGUAACGCGUAAUCAACCUGCCCUUCAGAGGGGGACAACAGUUGGAAACGACUGCUAAUACCGCAUACGAUCUAAUCUCGGCAUCGAGGAUAGAUGAAAGGUGGCCUCUACAUGUAAGCUAUCACUGCAGGAGGGGAUUGCGCCUGAUUAGCUAGUUGGAGGGGUAACGGCCCACCAAGGCGAUGGUCAGUAGCCGGUCUGAGAGGAUGAACGGCCAAAUUGGGACUGAGACACGGCCCAGACUCAUACGGGAGGCAGCAGUGGGGAAUCUUCCGCAAUGGACGAAAGUCUGACGGAGCAACGCCGCGUGAGUGAUGACGGCCUUCGGGUUGUAAAGCUCUGUUAAUCGGGACGAAAGGCCUUCUUGCGAAUAGUGAGAAGGAUUGACGGUACCGGAAUAGAAAGCCACGGCUAACUACGUG
rnacentral:rRNA from 1 species